rnacentral:lncRNA from 1 species
UUUUUUUUUAAAGAUCAGAUGUAUUUGGAGAAAACAAAAAACCCACAACCCAAAGGAUGGGAUUUCACAUCUCAAGACAUCUCCCAGGUAAUAAGUCUACAGAUUACAAAUCAUUUUCAUAGAAAAUAUUUUUGUACAAAUUAUACAGGUAUUCAGGAGCUGGGUCAUUAAUCAAUCCCCAUUUCUAUUUUAACAGGGGGGCAAGGUAGGGGAGAGGGAAAAACAGUUUUGGAUACAACUAUUUGGAAGGAGAGUAGAUAUGAAGAGGGCAAACCCUAGUUUUUCAUUACCUACAAUCAAUGUUUUUUUUCUUUAAAAAAAAAUCUUUCAAUCUUCAGUAUCUCUUUAAAAGCCCACUUCUUACCUACUAGCCAAUCCACCCCAAUUACAUAAACCAACACCCCUGCAUGGCUGAACAGGGCCUAAUCUAGGACUGAUGGGAGAAGUGCUUGCAAACCAAGAUCAAGGUGUCAUUUCUCUGCUAAUACUGUCUACCAAGCUGAUCCCUACAAAAACGCACAUAAAAGCAGGCAAGUUUAGCUACUGUGUUGCAAGAGAAACCAGGACCUUGUUAAAUAGUUCUCUCCAUUACCAUUUAUUCUCUCAAGGGAAGCUUAAAAAAAAAAAAGAAAAAGAAAAAGAAAAAACAACGCAUUGGUCUGGCCACCUCAUAAAUCCCACAAGCAUUGGUGUGGCAUUUCAGUGGAGAAGGAAACUUGGGGUGGGGAAAAACCCAUUAAGGUUGUAAAAAAGGCUCCCAAUUUAACUGUCCCUGUCCCUAUUUAUCCACCUUUAUUCACCACCCAAG